rnacentral:rRNA from 1 species
GUGGGGAAUAUUGCGCAAUGGGGGAAACCCUGACGCAGCAAUACCGCGUGAGUGAAGAAGGUUUUCGGAUCGUAAAACUCUUUUAUUGGGGAAGAAGAAGUGACGGUACCCAAUGAAGAAGUCCCGGCUAACUACGUGCCAGCAGCCGCGGUAAUACGUAGGGGACAAGCGUUGUCCGGAAUCACUGGGCGUAAAGGGCGCGUAGGCGGUUUUAUAAGUCAGAUGUGAAAGGUACCGGCUCAACCGGUGACGUGCAUUGGAAACUGUAAGACUUGAGUACUGGAGAAGCAAGUGGAAUUCCUAGUGUAGCGGUGGAAUGCGUAGAUAUUAGGAGGAACACCGGUGGCGAAGGCGGCUUGCUGGACAGAUACUGACGCUGAGGUGCGAAAGCGUGGGGAGCGAACAGGAUUAGAUACCCCGGUAGUCC